rnacentral:rRNA from 1 species
UGCAGGCUGNAACCCGCCUGCAUGAAGUCGGAAUUGCUAGUAAUCGCGGAUCAGCAUGCCGCGGUGAAUACGUUCCCGGGCCUUGUACACACCGCCCGUCACACCAUGGGAGCCGGUAAUACCCGAAGUCAGUAGUCCAACCUCGUGAGGACGCUGCCGAAGGUAGGAUUGGCGACUGGGGUGAAGUCGUAACAAGGUAUC